AUUUAUAUAGUUUAUAUAAAACACUUCAUUUUCAAUGAAGAGUUAUGAGUUUCAUUAUAAAUA
rnacentral:tRNA from 1 species